rnacentral:rRNA from 1 species
GGUCAAGUGAAGAAGCGCAUACGGUGGAUGCCUUGGCAGUCAGAGGCGAUGAAAGACGUGGUAGCCUGCGAAAAGCUUCGGGGAGUCGGCAAACAGACUUUGAUCCGGAGAUCUCUGAAUGGGGGAACCCACCUAGGAUAACCUAGGUAUCUUGUACUGAAUCCAUAGGUGCAAGAGGCGAACCAGGGGAACUGAAACAUCUAAGUACCCUGAGGAAAAGAAAUCAACCGAGAUUCCCUUAGUAGUGGCGAGCGAACGGGGAUUAGCCCUUAAGCUUCAUUGAUUUUAGCGGAACGCUCUGGAAAGUGCGGCCAUAGUGGGUGAUAGCCCCGUACGCGAAAGGAUCUUUGAAGUGAAAUCGAGUAGGACGGAGCACGAGAAACUUUGUCUGAACAUGGGGGGACCAUCCUCCAAGGCUAAAUACUACUGACUGACCGAUAGUGAACCAGUACCGUGAGGGAAAGGCGAAAAGAACCCCGGAGAGGGGAGUGAAAUAGAACCUGAAACCGUAUGCGUACAAGCAGUGGGAGCCUACUUGUUAGGUGACUGCGUACCUUUUGUAUAAUGGGUCAGCGACUUAUAUUCAGUGGCAAGCUUAACCGUAUAGGGUAGGCGUAGCGAAAGCGAGUCUUAAUAGGGCGUUUAGUCGCUGGGUAUAGACCCGAAACCGGGCGAUCUAUCCAUGAGCAGGUUGAAGGUUAGGUAACACUGACUGGAGGACCGAACCCACUCCCGUUGAAAAGGUAGGGGAUGACUUGUGGAUCGGAGUGAAAGGCUAAUCAAGCUCGGAGAUAGCUGGUUCUCCUCGAAAGCUAUUUAGGUAGCGCCUCAUGUAUCACUCUGGGGGGUAGAGCACUGUUUCGGCUAGGGGGUCAUCCCGACUUACCAAACCGAUGCAAACUCCGAAUACCCAGAAGUGCCGAGCAUGGGAGACACACGGCGGGUGCUAACGUCCGUCGUGAAAAGGGAAACAACCCAGACCGCCAGCUAAGGUCCCAAAGUUGUGGUUAAGUGGUAAACGAUGUGGGAAGGCUUAGACAGCUAGGAGGUUGGCUUAGAAGCAGCCACCCUUUAAAGAAAGCGUAAUAGCUCACUAGUCGAGUCGGCCUGCGCGGAAGAUGUAACGGGGCUCAAACCACACACCGAAGCUGCGGGUGUCACGUAAGUGACGCGGUAGAGGAGCGUUCUGUAAGCCUGUGAAGGUGAGUUGAGAAGCUUGCUGGAGGUAUCAGAAGUGCGAAUGCUGACAUGAGUAACGACAAUGGGUGUGAAAAACACCCACGCCGAAAGACCAAGGGUUCCUGCGCAACGUUAAUCGACGCAGGGUUAGUCGGUUCCUAAGGCGAGGCUGAAAAGCGUAGUCGAUGGGAAACAGGUUAAUAUUCCUGUACUUCUGGUUACUGCGAUGGAGGGACGGAGAAGGCUAGGCCAGCUUGGCGUUGGUUGUCCAAGUUUAAGGUGGUAGGCUGAAAUCUUAGGUAAAUCCGGGGUUUCAAGGCCGAGAGCUGAUGACGAGUCGUCUUUUAGAUGACGAAGUGGUUGAUGCCAUGCUUCCAAGAAAAGCUUCUAAGCUUCAGGUAACCAGGAACCGUACCCCAAACCGACACAGGUGGUCGGGUAGAGAAUACCAAGGCGCUUGAGAGAACUCGGGUGAAGGAACUAGGCAAAAUGGCACCGUAACUUCGGGAGAAGGUGCGCCGGCUAGGGUGAAGGAUUUACUCCGUAAGCUCUGGCUGGUCGAAGAUACCAGGCCGCUGCGACUGUUUAUUAAAAACACAGCACUCUGCAAACACGAAAGUGGACGUAUAGGGUGUGACGCCUGCCCGGUGCCGGAAGGUUAAUUGAUGGGGUUAGCGCAAGCGAAGCUCUUGAUCGAAGCCCCGGUAAACGGCGGCCGUAACUAUAACGGUCCUAAGGUAGCGAAAUUCCUUGUCGGGUAAGUUCCGACCUGCACGAAUGGCGUAACGAUGGCGGCGCUGUCUCCACCCGAGACUCAGUGAAAUUGAAAUCGCUGUGAAGAUGCAGUGUAUCCGCGGCUAGACGGAAAGACCCCGUGAACCUUUACUGUAGCUUUGCACUGGACUUUGAGCCUGCUUGUGUAGGAUAGGUGGGAGGCUUUGAAGCGUGGACGCCAGUUCGCGUGGAGCCAUCCUUGAAAUACCACCCUGGCAUGCUUGAGGUUCUAACUCUGGUCCGUGAUCCGGAUCGAGGACAGUGUAUGNNNNNNNNNNNNNNNNNNNNNNNNNNNNNNNAACGGAGGAGUACGAAGGUGCGCUCAGACCGGUCGGAAAUCGGUCGCAGAGUAUAAAGGCAAAAGCGCGCUUGACUGCGAGACAGACACGUCGAGCAGGUACGAAAGUAGGUCUUAGUGAUCCGGUGGUUCUGUAUGGAAGGGCCAUCGCUCAACGGAUAAAAGGUACUCCGGGGAUAACAGGCUGAUACCGCCCAAGAGUUCAUAUCGACGGCGGUGUUUGGCACCUCGAUGUCGGCUCAUCACAUCCUGGGGCUGAAGCCGGUCCCAAGGGUAUGGCUGUUCGCCAUUUAAAGUGGUACGCGAGCUGGGUUUAGAACGUCGUGAGACAGUUCGGUCCCUAUCUGCCGUGGACGUUUGAGAUUUGAGAGGGGCUGCUCCUAGUACGAGAGGACCGGAGUGGACGAACCUCUGGUGUUCCGGUUGUCACGCCAGUGGCAUUGCCGGGUAGCUAUGUUCGGAAAAGAUAACCGCUGAAAGCAUCUAAGCGGGAAACUUGCCUCAAGAUGAGAUCUCACUGGGAACUUGAUUCCCCUGAAGGGCCGUCGAAGACUACGACGUUGAUAGGCUGGGUGUGUAAGCGUUGUGAGGCGUUGAGCUAACCAGUACUAAUUGCCCGUGAGGCUUGACCAU